GCAGAGCAUUAAGGGAUCUUAUUGUGAACAGAUCUGAUGAGUAUUUCUCUGGGAAGGAAGCUCUGUAGCCAUUCUAUAUCUGGUACAGAAAUCUGACCUGCUAAUAGCAGCCCUGCCACCUACCAUAUACAAGGUGUAUGUGACCUGGUGCCCGAAAUUAAGCAGUGCCAGAAGAGAAGAAAAAACAGAAGGAAGAGAGCAACAGAAGUUGCAGACAGAAGGAGGAGCAAUGAAGGUUGCAGAGAGGGGGGAAAAAAAGCAACACAGGUUGCAGGAUUUCAUCAACAUCUCUCUCUGCGUUGCCCCAGAGAACUUCAGCUUUCACAAACCUUCACAACUUCAGAUUUCACAAACCUUCACAACUGAGAGACUAGAAGCAGCAUUUUGCAAGAUUUCAAAUUGCUACAAAACUCCAUAAUGAAACUGAAGAUAUACAGGCUCCAGAAGAUCCUUGGACCCUUUUUCUGAGGCCGUGUAUGAGGAGAUCGAUUAUAACCUGAUGAGAAAGAAGCAGGAAAUGUUUGAUCGCUCAGUCUCCUAUUCAGAUGACUCAGUGACGAAGCUGCAGUAUUACACCGGGGACAGCGAGGGGGAAAAUGAUCCUGGAUCAGAACAAG